UACGUAGGUGGCAAGCGUUGUCCGGAUUUACUGGGUGUAAAGGGCGUGUAGCCGGGCUGACAAGUCAGAUGUGAAAUCCGGGGGCUCAACCCCCGAACUGCAUUUGAAACUGUUGGUCUUGAGUAUCGGAGAGGCAGGCGGAAUUCCUAGUGUAGCGGUGAAAUGCGUAGAUAUUAGGAGGAACACCAGUGGCGAAGGCGGCCUGCUGGACUGCAACUGACGUUGAGGCCCGAAAGCGUGGGGAGCAAACAGG
rnacentral:rRNA from 1 species